AUAAAAGCGGCGGCAGGCCUAACACAUGCAAGUCGAGCGGUAGAGAGAAGCUUGCUUCUCUUGAGAGCGGCGGACGGGUGAGUAAUGCCUAGGAAUCUGCCUGGUAGUGGGGGAUAACGUUCGGAAACGGACGCUAAUACCGCAUACGUCCUACGGGAGAAAGCAGGGGACCUUCGGGCCUUGCGCUAUCAGAUGAGCCUAGGUCGGAUUAGCUAGUUGGUGAGGUAAUGGCUCACCAAGGCGACGAUCCGUAACUGGUCUGAGAGGAUGAUCAGUCACACUGGAACUGAGACACGGUCCAGACUCCUACGGGAGGCAGCAGUGGGGAAUAUUGGACAAUGGGCGAAAGCCUGAUCCAGCCAUGCCGCGUGUGUGAAGAAGGUCUUCGGAUUGUAAAGCACUUUAAGUUGGGAGGAAGGGUUGUAGAUUAAUACUCUGCAAUUUUGACGUUACCGACAGAAUAAGCACCGGCUAACUCUGUGCCAGCAGCCGCGGUAAUACAGAGGGUGCAAGCGUUAAUCGGAAUUACUGGGCGUAAAGCGCGCGUAGGUGGUUUGUUAAGUUGGAUGUGAAAUCCCCGGGCUCAACCUGGGAACUGCAUUCAAAACUGACUGACUAGAGUAUGGUAGAGGGUGGUGGAAUUUCCUGUGUAGCGGUGAAAUGCGUAGAUAUAGGAAGGAACACCAGUGGCGAAGGCGACCACCUGGACUAAUACUGACACUGAGGUGCGAAAGCGUGGGGAGCAAACAGG
rnacentral:rRNA from 1 species